CGGCUCUGUGGACCGGCUUCUAAUCCUCUUGUUUUCGGUACAGUCAGCAGAUGUGGCUUCUUUUAGCUGAAUAAUCCGUUAAAGGAAAAAUAAUUUUUCAAAAGGACCUCACCCGAAGAGGAUGGCGAGCGAGAUUGGGGCUUGUAGAUCUACUGCCUUUCGUUGGAACGCUGCGGACUGCGACCAGUCUCUUAAAAAGAAGAACAGAGAGAAGAAGACCCUGAAUAGACCCCCCCACCCCCAACCCGGACAAAGCACUUUGGGUUUCGCCAGAAGGGAUUCGCGGGAGCGCUGGCUCCGGAAUACGAGUGAUCUCCCGUGCGGUAGGGGGCCUGCCCGGCGUGCGGACCUCUGAGGCGAGAGGACUGCAGCAGCCGAGUUCCGGAAGGCUGAUUCCCCAGAUCCUGGCCCCGGACCCCGGCAGCUAGCCCCUGCGGCACGCCCGGCCCGGCUGCGCCUGGACUCGGCGAGCGAGGAAAAAGCCUGGAUCCGAAAGGAUGGGGGAGAACAAAGAGCCUUUGGAAGACGUCGCUGUUAUCUCAUUGUCUGUGUGAUCGGGGGAGCUGCGAGACGGCCCAGGCCCAGAUCUCUGUUUAAGCGGAAAAGAAACUGAUCCUUUAACAAAGGCAAAGGUAAAUUCCUGUAUGGCCUCUACAUUCCUUUCCCUAGCGGGGUGGGGAGGGGGGGGACAGUUUUUGUGGGCGCAUGAGGAGCCUUAACCCAAGAAAUAAAGAUUUGGGGGGAGGGGUGAUUUCUCAGCAGGCAUAUGCCCAUAUACACAUAUAUACAUAGAUUUUCUUGCACAAUCAUAUCCAUUGCUAAUAUUUAUAGGAAGGCAUUUAACCGCACAUACAAAACAUCCAUCCACCUAUACUAUCUCCGCAGGGAAAUAAUUUUCUCUUUCCCUCUACUGGACUUACAUAAUUCCCCCACCCCUUGUUCCAAUCUUAGAAUGGAGUCCUUUGGGGGCAGCUGCAAAGCAUUCUCCCCAGGACAGAUUGGAACCACCCUUCCUCAUCUACUCUGUGGGUGGGUUUAGUGAGUCAACACAGGCUGAGGGGUGUGCUGGUGGUUUGUGUUUGAGGCUUGCCUGGCUGAUUAUUGUCAAUAACAAUUAUGAGAAUUAUAAUACCUAAUAAAGAUGUUUUUUCUUCCAA